rnacentral:rRNA from 1 species
UACGUAGGGGGGCAAGCGUUGUCCGGAUUUAUUGGGCGUAAAGAGCGUGUAGGCGGCCAUACAGGUCAGCUGUGAAAACUCGAGGCUCAACCUCGAGACGUCGGUUGAAACCGUAUGGCUAGAGUCCGGAAGAGGAGAGUGGAAUUCCCGGUGUAGCGGUGAAAUGCGCAGAUAUCGGGGAAGAACACCCGUGGCGAAGGCGGCUCUCUGGGACGGUACUGACGCUGAGACGCGAAAAGCGUGGGGAGCGAACAGG